GGCCUACGGGACGCAGCAGUGAGGAAUAUUGGUCAAUGGCCGGAAGGCUGAACCAGCCAAGCCGCGUGAAGGACGACUGUCCCAAGCAUUGUAAACUUCUUUUGUCAAGGGAUAACAUCAGGCUCGAGAGCCUGACCGCGGGUACUUGAAGAAAAAGCAUCGGCUAACUCCGUGCCAGCAGCCGCGGUAAUACGGAGGAUGCGAGCGUUAUCCGGAUUUAUUGGGUUUAAAGGGUGCGUAGGCGGCCUGUUAAGUCAGCGGUCAAAGCUCGGGGCUCAACCCC
rnacentral:rRNA from 1 species